rnacentral:rRNA from 1 species
AGGAUAAACGCUGGCGGCGUGCCUAACACAUGCAAGUCGAACGCGCUUUCGGGCUUCGGUGCGAGAGCGAGUGGCGGACGGGUGAGUAACACAUGGGUACCUACCUUGGAGUGAGGGAUACCGGCGAGAAAUCGCCGACAAUACCGCAUAGGCUUCUUCACAAGGGAAGCAAAGUGACGCGAGUCACGCUGUGAGAUGGGCCUGUGGCCGAUUAGCUAGUUGGGGGGUAACGGCUUCCCAAGGCGACGAUCGGUAGCUGGUCUGAGAGGACGAUCAGCCACACUGGGAUUGAGAACGGCCCAGACUCCGUACGGGGGCAGCAGUGAGGAAUUUUCCGCAAUGGAGGCAACUCUGACGGAGCAACGCCGCGUGCAGGAGGAAGGUUUCGGAUCGUAAACUGCUUUCGUCGGGACGAGCAAGGACGGUACCGAGGAAGAGCCCGGCUAACUACGUGCCAGCAGCCGC